ACUCUCGGUUCUCUCUCUCUCCCUCUUCUUCUUUCUCUCCUCUUCUUUCUCACUCGCCCAAAAUUGCAGAAGCUCGACGCCGGAAGGUCGCUGCUGCUGCUGUCGCUGCCGGGAGGCGCUGCUGUGCUCCCCGCCGGGAGGCGCUGCUGUGCUCCCCGCCGGAAGCCGCCGUCGCACGGUCAGGCCGCAGCAGGAGGCGCAGCACCGUUCGCCUGUGCCGCAAACCACCGUCGCCGUCAUUCAAUCGGGGCCAUCCCUACUUACCCCGAACGGAUACCGCGCAACCCCGAACAACUCCGAACAGCCCCGAAUCGACCCGAAUCAAUACCGCGCAGCCCCGAUUUCCUCCCCGAAGAUCACGAAGGAUGAAUAUCUCAUCACGGAGCAGGAAAUAUCUGUGUAAAAUCUUUAAUUAAGAUUAGAAUUAAAGAUUUUUUUUAUUUUAAUUAGUUUAGCUUAAUUCACAGCUCAUUGUAUUUUAUUUUAAAUUGUGCAGUACACAAUUUAUUAAUCACGGACUGGACUUUUAUAUUAA